AUGCUGGCAGAGCAGACGGAGCGGCUGCGGCUGUCUUCUAUCCUUGCUUAUGAGGCGGAGGAGAAGGAAUACGACGCGCCGGAGCAGCCGGAGCGGCGGCGGGUCUCUUCCGCCCUUGCCGACGAGGCGGAGAAGGAGGAGGCUGGCUGCUCUGGCGCGCCGGCGCAGGCGGAGAAGGAGGAGGAGUGCCGCCACGCGCCGGAGAAGGAGGCUGAGUGCCCUGAUCACUCACCGGAGGAGGAGGCGGAGGAGGAGGCGGAGUGCCCUUACUCGCCGGAGCCGUCCAGUUCGGAAGGUUGA
rnacentral:rRNA from 1 species